rnacentral:lncRNA from 1 species
CUCCCUGCUUCCCAGAGCAAAGUCCUGAGCCACCUAUUCUCUCCAAGUUUGUCUCGCAGCCAGGCUGGGGACCGUCCGCGAGCGACUCCCGGACCGGGCAAUCAGUCUUCCCUGUUCCAGUGUCAGAGACGAACAAUCGCCACCAGUGGCUGCUGAGUGCUAGAGGCUUUACUCCCACAGCUCCAAAAGCAACAGACGAGCAGACCCCAAUGAAUUAGUCCUCGCCACAUAGAUGAAGCAGCUCUGGGAAAUUGGAAUGAUGUGCUUGGACUCACAAGGCUAAUAACGGAGAGCAGCGGUUUCAAAUCUACAGUACUAGAGGCUGACCUCAACGCAACGCCCGAAGCUGGGCGCAAACCAACCAGUUCGGAAUGCCACAAUUCACGGAGACAUUCCCACGGACCGGGACCAUAGAGUCCCCAAAAGCACCGGGUGUGACCGGUACUGGCGGAUGAUCACCCCUCAGCUGGAGAACACUUACCAUAAAAGAGAGGGCGAGCGCCUGCCUGGGAGGAAUCCCCAGCGCUGGCAGGUCCGGGACUCCCGGGAGAGAGGUCUGCUGCCACUGCCGCCCACGCAGGGGCGCCCGAGCGACCCCGCGGAUGCUGGCUGCUGCUUCUCAGCCAGCGGCGCGUCCUCCCGACUUGUACCCGGCGGCAGCGCCCUCUCUCUCCGCAGGGUGCCCUGGAGUUAGGGACGUUCUUGGAGAAGUUGACGCUCGGGAGAGGCCGCC